rnacentral:misc_RNA from 1 species
GGUGAGAUCUGAAGCAAGGAAAGUGCAUGAUCUUUUCUUUGACAUCUUGAAGAUAGAAUUUCCGGAGACUGAUUUUCGAGAAGCAAGGAAUUCCAUUUCUUUUGCUGGACCAGCAGCUUCUACUACACCCGCGUCUUCACGGCUGAUGCCUGUAGGUCAAAACAAGAGACACAAACUGAUAAAUGAAAUGGAACCCGACUCUAGCCCACUGCUGAAGCCGCAGACACGUGGAACACUCCAUGCCGGUGAAGAUGCCAAGGCUAAGAGUCAUAUGGCUCAAAGAGAAACAAGAUUUGGUGGUAGCAGUAGCCGGGAGCUUAGCCAACAGGAUGAUUCACGCCCAUUCACUCAUCCCGGGGAGCUUGUUAUUUGCAAAAAGAAAAGAAAAGAUAGAGAGAAGUUGGGUUUGAAACCCGGGAGUAGUUCUGCUGGUCCUGUCUCACCACCUGGUGUCAGCCGCAGUAUCAGAAGUCCUGGCUCACUCCCAACUGUGAAGGAGGGGGGAAGGUUAAACCAGCAGACACCCCAACAGUUGAAUGGCAGUGGUAGCAGUAGCUCUGUUGGCUGGGCAAACCCUGUGAAGAGAUUGAGAUCAGAUUCUGCAAGAAGACGGCAAAGUCAUUUAUGAUUAUUGUUUUGUUAAAGGUGUACACUGUAAUGCAAGUAGUAGCUGUACUGAGUGAGGUGCUGUGAAUAACCGGCCCUUCGGUAUUUUCAUACCUCCUGACCUGUGUACUUCCCCAUUUCAUCCCCAGCCUCACCUGUAUGAUAAAUUUGCUUUUAAACAUAGGUUUCUU